rnacentral:lncRNA from 10 species
CUCGCCCAUUGCCUGGAUCGGGGGCUACUUUGUAAACCACCAGGAAGACUCCAGUGUUUCUGGUUAAUUUUUAGAUGUUUGUUAAUUGCUCUUGGUCUCUCAUUAAUCCCCUGUGGGUCAUCCAGGAAACAUACUCACCACUGUCUGUUCUCUGAGUUUUCAUUUCCAGGCAUCCGCCCUGCCUGGAUCUCCUCACCUGCCAGGAACUUCCUCUCCACAAGCCGGCCAUCCCAGCAAAAGUUCUAACACCAAAGAUGACUGCCAGGGGCAUGAAGGGGAUGUGCUUCCAGGGCAUUUG